UAUGGAAACUUACUAAGUGAUAACUUUCAAAUUCAGAGAAACCCUGGAAUUAAUAAAAAUGGGCAAUCCUGAGCCAAAUCACGUUUUCCGAAAACAAAGAAAGGUUCAGAAAGCGAAAAUAAAAAAGGAUAGGUGCAGAGACUCGAUGGAAGCUGUUCUAACGAAUGGAGUUGGUUGUCUUACGUUAGUGGAGGAAUCAUUCUAUCGAAACUUCAGAAAAGAUGAAGGAUAAACCUGUAUACAUAAUACAGAAGAAUUGCUGUGAAUCGAUUCCAUAUUGAAGAAAGAAUCGAAUAUUCAUUGAUCAAACCAUUCACCAUUCACUCCAUAAUCUGAUAGAUCUUUUGAAGAACUGAUUAAUCGGACGAGAAUAAAGAUAGAGUCCCGUUCUACAUGUCAAUACCGGCAACAAUGAAAUUUAUAGUAAGAGGAAAAUCCGUCGAUUUCAAAAAUCGUGAGGGUUCAAGUCCCUCUAUCCCCAAAAAGAGC
rnacentral:ncRNA from 1 species